rnacentral:rRNA from 1 species
AUAAGCGGAGGAAAAGAAACCAACAGGGAUUGCCCCAGUAACGGCGAGUGAAGCGGCAAGAGCUCAAAUUUGAAAUCUGGCCCCUCCGGGGUCCGAGUUGUAAUUUGCAGAGGAUGCUUCGGGUGCGGUCCCCGUCUAAGUACCCUGGAACGGGUCGUCAUAGAGGGUGAGAAUCCCGUCUGGGACGGGUGGCCGUGUCCGUGUGAAGCUCCUUCGACGAGUCGAGUUGUUUGGGAAUGCAGCUCUAAAUGGGUGGUAAAUUUCAUCUAAAGCUAAAUACUGGCCGGAGACCGAUAGCGCACAAGUAGAGUGAUCGAAAGAUGAAAAGCACUUUGAAAAGAGAGUUAAACAGCACGUGAAAUUGUUGAAAGGGAAGCGCUUGCGACCAGACUCGCCCGCGGGGGUUCAGCCGGUACUCGUACCGGUGUACUCCCCCGGGGGCGGGCCAGCGUCGGUUUGGGCGGUCGGUCAAAGGCCUCCGGAAUGUGUCGCCCCCCGGGGCGUCUUAUAGCCGGAGGUGCAAUGCGGCCAGCCUGGACCGAGGAACGCGCUUCGGCUCGGACGCUGGCGUAAUGGUCGU